AGAGUUUGAUCCUGGCUCAGAGUGAACGCUGGCGGCGUGGAUUAGGCAUGCAAGUCGAGCGAUCUUUUGAUAGAGACUUGGGAUCUUCGCUUCGGUGGAGAGAAAUUGGAUCUGUCUUAGGAUAGCGGCAAACGGGUGAGGAACACGUGGGUAAUUUUCCCUAAAGUCAGGCAUAGCUUCGUGAAAACGGAGGUAAUUCCUGAUGUGGCCAUAAGUUGACAUCGACUUUUGGUUAAAGGUGGGGACCGUAAGGCCUACCACUUUAGGAUGAGCCCGCGUCCUAUCAGCUAGUUGGUGGGGUAAUGGCCUACCAAGGCGUUUGACGGGUAGCUGGUCUGAGAGGAUGGUCAGCCACACUGGGACUGAGACACUGCCCAGACUCCUACGGGAGGCUGCAGUCGAGAAUAUUUAGCAAUGGGCGCAAGCCUGACUAUGCGACGCCGCGUGAGGGAUGAAGGUUUUCGGAUUGUAAACCUCUUUUGUCAGGAAAGAAACCUUAUAGAUUAAUACUCUAUAAGCUGACGGUACCUGGCGAAUAAGCCACGGCCAACUCCGUGCCAGCAGCCGCGGUAAUACGGAGGUGGCAAGCGUUACUCGGAAUCAUUGGGUGUAAAGGGCAAGUAGGCGGUUUAGUAAGUGGGGGGUGAAAUCUCCCGGCUCAAUCGGGAAACUGCUUCCCAUACUGCUAGACUUGAGGGUGGAAGAGGAAAAUGGAAUUCUCGGUGUAAGGGUGAAAUCUGUAGAUAUCGAGAAGAACACCAGCGGCGAAGGCGAUUUUCUGGUCCACUCCUGACGCUGAAUUGCGAAAGCUAGGGGAGCAAACAGAAUUAGAUACUCUGGUAGUCCUAGCCGUAAACGAUGAGCACUAGGUGUUGGUCCUUCACGGGAUCAGUGCCGCAGCUAACGCAUUAAGUGCUCCACCUGAGGACUACGGUCGCAAGGCUAAAACUCAAAGGAAUUGACGGGGGCCCGCACAAGCGGUGGAACAUGUGGUUUAAUUCGAUGAUACGCGAAGAACCUCACCAGGACUUGACAUGUAGGGAGUAGUGAACCGAAAGGGGAACCACCCGUUAAGUUCGGGAACUUACACAGGUGCUGCAUGGCUGUCGUCAGCUCGCGUCGUGAGAUGUUGGGUUAAGUCCCGCAACGAGCGCAACCAUUACUCUUUGUUGCCACUCUUUGACUUUGCUUGCAAAGACAAAGAAGCACUCUAAGAGGACUGCCUGGGAUAACCAGGAGGAAGGUGGAGAUGACGUCAAGUCAGUACGGCCUUUAUGUCCUGGGCCACACACGUGUUACAAUGGGUAGUACAAAGGGUUGCCAACCCGUGAGGGGGAGCUAAUCUCAAAAAACUACCCUCAGUUCGGAUUGGAGUCUGCAAUUCGACUCCAUGAAGCUGGAAUCGCUAGUAAUGGGAGAUCAGCACGCUCCCGUGAAUACGUUCCCGGGCCUUGUACACACCGCCCGUCAAGCGAUGGGAGCUGGGGGUACCCGAAGUCCUAUGUAGAUAGGCCGAAGGUAAAACUAGUGACUGGCGCUAAGUCGUAACAAGGUA
rnacentral:rRNA from 1 species